rnacentral:rRNA from 1 species
UACAGAGGUCUCAAGCGUUGUUCGGAAUCACUGGGCGUAAAGCGCACGUAGGCGGAUUGUUAAGUCAGGGGUGAAAUCCUGGAGCUCAACUCCAGAACUGCCUUUGAUACUGGCGAUCUUGAGUCCGGGAGAGGUGAGUGGAACUGCGAGUGUAGAGGUGAAAUUCGUAGAUAUUCGCAAGAACACCAGUGGCGAAGGCGGCUCACUGGCCCGGUACUGACGCUGAGGUGCGAAAGCGUGGGGAGCAAACAGG